rnacentral:rRNA from 1 species
CCUACGGGAGGCAGCAGUGAGGAAUAUUGGUCAAUGGACGAGAGUCUGAACCAGCCAAGUAGCGUGAAGGAUGACUGCCCUAUGGGUUGUAAACUUCUUUUAUCUGUGAAUAAAAUGUUCCACGUGUGGGAUUUUGUAUGUACCAUAUGAAUAAGGAUCGGCUAACUCCGUGCCAGCAGCCGCGGUAAUACGGCGGAUCCGAGCGUUAUCCGGAUUUAUUGGGUUUAAAGGGUGAGUAGGUGGUUUGUUAAGUUAGUUGUGAAAGUUUGCGGAUCAACCGUAAAAUUGCAGUUGAAACUGGCAGUCUUGAGUACAGUAGAGGUGGGCGGAAUUCGUGGUGUAGCGGUGAAAUGCUUAGAUAUCACGAAGAACUCCGAUUGCGAAGGCAGCUCACUGGACUGCAACUGACACUGAGGCUCGAAAGCGUGGGGAGCAAACAGGAUUAGAUACCCUUGUAGUC